GAAGUGGACAGCGCGAGGUACGAGUGUUAAUUGCACACACUCACCGUCUAGUCGACAGAGAGGUGACCCAGGACGAGGCUGGUUCUCCUCUCGCUCCAGACUAAGACUCGUGAGGCGAGCUAAGAGGAAGCACGGCCGAGCCCCCCACCCCUUCUCUACUCUACAACGGGAGGUGUCCCCCCUCUCCAACGCCCCCUUUGUAUCCAGCAUUUGCAACUCACCACCCCCACCCCUACGUGCACCAACGAUCCAGCAGGACCACAACAGACUAUCUUCUGGCCCAGCCAAGGGGCCCAGGGACUGCGUGGCUUGGUGGGUAGAGCAGCCGUGCCAGAAACUUGACAAACUUGCUUGCCAUCCAAAUCACUGCUGUUGUGUCCUUGGGCAAGCCACUUCACCCUUGCCCCCAGUGCCUCUCACACUGAUGAAUGAAUGAUAGGUGGUGUUCGGAGGGGCCGUAGGCGCAAAUUGGCAGCCACGCUUCCGUCAGUCUACCUCAGGACAGCUGUGGCUACAAAUGUAGCUUACCACCACCGCCGUGUGAAUGUGGGGGUCGCGGGGGGCGCUGGAGCCUAUCUCAGCUGCAUUCGGGCGAAAGGCGG